rnacentral:lncRNA from 1 species
UAAUGAAACUUAUUUUUUUAAUCAUGAAUGGUAAAAUUGGUAUUUUGUUAGUCAACUAACUGGUCAACUAACGAGUCAACUAACGGUUGUAAUGGAAAAGUAGUAAAAUGAUAUUUGUUAUAACGGAAAAGUAGCAAAAUGAUAUUUUUAUAAAGAUAUAGUAGGAAAAUGAUAUGAGACAAUACUUGUUGUAAUUAUUUGAUAUUUGGUAAUUUUUGAAGUAGUAAAAUGAUAAUAACCCUAAUUUUUAUCUCUUAAUUUUGAAGAUUAAGGUUAAUAGUGUUUUUUUUAAUUAAAAAAAAAAAAGCUGUGGGUCAACAACUAUCAAGUCUAUCACUAAGUCUAGCAGAGAUAAAAAAUGGCCCCUUGAAUCAACAAAGAGAAGAAGUGAAGGUGUGGUAUACGACCCCGCGACCCUUGUGAUAAAAACAAAGACAGAUUCGGUGAUAAUAUAUAACAGAGAAUAACAAUAACAAAGAGGAGAAUAUGUCAUCAUCAACUACGAGGGUUCCAGGAUAAGGAUGGAGCAAAUUGAAUUUUGUUACCACAUAAAUGGAUAGGCCCUCUUGCCAAUUUUAAUUGUAAUAGGAGAUACUUUUAUUUGUACACAAUUCAUUCUUAUAUGAAUCCCAAAAUCAACUUCAUUUUUUAAAUUUAAUUUUUGGAUGGGUUGACUUUAACUUUAAAAAAAAAAAGGGAUUUAGAAAUUAUUUGACUAAAAUAUUUUAGUUAAAUUGUCGCAACACCAACAGCAGACCAUCACUUUUCACAUUUACUAUCAAUUGGAUGUGUUAUUCAAACCUCCAACAAAAAAAAAAAAAAAAAAAACCCUUUGGAUGAAGACAUGAAGGUUACUGGGAAAAAAAUACUAAUAAUAGUAGUCUAAUAUUUUAUGUUUUUGACCAAAAGUCAAGAAUUUUAUUGAUAUCGAAUCACUUUCGUAGUUCUUCAAAAUGUGUAGUUUUUGGGUAAAAGCUCAGAGAAAACUGAAUAUUAAUUAGAACGUCAAACCUCCAGCAUUUUAUCGAGCAGAAAAUUCAAGUGUAACGAUCGCACAAUAUAAUUAUGGUAUCAGUAAAUAAUAGAAUCAAAACAAUUAUUGCAACAUGUACAUUAAAAUAAAUAAAAGAAAAUUCAAAUCAAGAAAAAUAAAAUGAAUCAGUGAGUGCAGCGUAUAUAUUUUUUUUUAAGAAAAAGAAAUUAAGAUUCAAUUCAACAAAAAUAAAAUGAAUCAGUGAGUUCAGCAAUUUAGCUUGGUCAGUGAUCCAAAGUGGGUAGGCGGGUGAUUUUGGUUUUUACUCUCUAUUCAUGCCCCUUUAUAUUUACCUCUUUUUUUCAUUUUUUUUUUUUUGGGGUCAAAUAUACGCAAACAUUUGCUCCAAUUAUAUAAAUGUUCAAUUAACAGUAUGUUCUGAAUGGGGCCCAUGCGUUCAAUAAGAAGCUUCUAUAGAAACUUGCCGUCUUUUUAACAUGUCAACAUUUGACUAUCACACGCAUUUAAAAUUUUUUUGCCUAAUUGAAUAUUUAAUACAUUUCUUCUACAAAACAAUACAUACAUAUCUAUUUCGUCUCAGAGUCAGACGACGUACAUAUCCUCCCCCCCCCCCCCCCCCCCCCUCCAAAAAAAGAAAAGAAAAGAAAAGAAUUUCGUUCGUUACGUGUGGUGACUUGUGAGCUCCCUGGCCGGCGUUGUAGGUUUUAACCCCAAUUCACGGGGCCUCUAGAGUGGGUCACAACUCACAACCUCUCUUUUUCUUUUUCUCUCUCUCGAGUUUUUCUUUUCUCUCUCACUCUCAUUCUCUGUUCACUGCAACAGAGAAAUAAAAGCUAAGGGAACCCUUCACAUGCAUCAAAUGCUCAUUAAUAAGUUUUGAGGAAGUAAAUCCAAAAGCACAUUAGUAUUUUCAUCUUUUACAGGGCUUUAAUUAAAUGUAUUAUCAUCUUUUAUUCAGUUAAUACUUUGCCAAUUACUAAUAUCUUCGCUCAAAUUCACUUUUUUUUUUCUUGUGCCAAGUUUAUUGAGAGUACAAUUUUGAACUUGAACUAACUUUUUCUAUUUACCAUUUGUAAACAAUUAAUGACACACAAUUAUUCAAGAAAACUGUAAAUUAACUUUUCUUAAAACUAAUAUUUUUCUUCUAUCAAAUAGAGUAAUCAGGCACACAAUUGUUCCUAAAAACAAGUUACGAACAUAAUUUUAGAUAGACUAUCAAAUUAUACUUUGUCAUUUGUGCUACAAAAGGUUGUGGCCCACUAUUGAUAUUUAAUUUUAAGUUACGCACCAUGUCUAAUUUUGUUUAAUUGUAUUGCUGCCCCAUCACUUGUCACUUGAUGCAUCAAACUUGCACUCCAGUCCAGGUCCAGGUUCAGCCCUGCCGCCCUUAAGAGCCUAUGCUGGCAGGAGCAAAGCCGUCGCUAGCUAUAUACCAGCCAGCAGAAAGUUCAACUUAUAGGGCCCAUUUUCUUAUGACGUAUCCAACUUGAGCAUGAUUUCUGGGACUCGGACGAUCACAAUAUCACAUAAAUAUCUAAGAGCAUCUCCAAAUAGGAAACAGAUCCGGUGCUCAGCUGAGUUUGUGCUGAGCACCGGAUCCUAGUCCCUCCAAAUAUCAAUUUAAAGAGUAUUUUCAAAUAUCUAAGAGCAUCUUCAAAUAUCCAAUUUUUUAGAUUUUAUUUUUCAAAUAUUAAUUUACUUACUGAUGUAGUAAAUAAGUGGAUGAAAAAAUACAAUCUUUUUCAAAAGGCUCAUCAAAUAAGAAUAAGUUAACAUUAUUUUAAUUAAAAUUUUUCACUAUUAAAUUGAAUUGCUGUUAUGUUUUUUAAAGAAAACAUAAAUAAUAAUUAUUACAGUCUUAUUUUUUUAAUAAAUAAUAAUAAAAUAUUAAUAGAAGAAGGAGAAACUCACUCGACAAUAUUAAAGAGUGAAAAAUAAAUCUUAUUUGAAGAAUAUAAAUUAACGUGUUUUUUUAGAGUAUUUAAUAUUGUAAUGACUUUUUAAAUAAGAAGUAAAAUUUUAUUUAAAAGAAUUUUUUGAAAAUGCUCUUAGGUAAGUGCAGACGUGCAGUUACUAUAACAUGCAACCAGAUGCGGCGCCUCUGCUUUAGGAGCAGAGCUCUGCCAUAGUUUUGCUGCCUUGCUAUGGGCUAACUAAAUGCAGAGGAUUCUUGAUGUGGCCUUGUGGCUGGCCUCAACUACGUAUGUUGAAGCCACACGUACGAGAAUCAAAUAUUUGUCUCUCAUAAAUGCCGAUGGGUAAAUAUCUUUUUAAAUAUUAGUAAGUGAAGAUAUUAGUAUCGAUAGGCCCCUGAACUACACACGAACGUAUGUAUUCAAGUUUCAAAUACACAGAUUAUAACCAAUUGAAAAAAUGCAAAGUAUCUUUUUCAAAUCCCAUAUUUUAAAUUGGGAAAAGUCACCCAUAUUCCCUAAAUUUACUUAGAUGAUCACAUAAACUACCAUAAGUGGUCACACGAAUCCCUUUUUAAUGAUUAUGCCAUUAAAUUAUAACACAAAAAUUGACUUUAAAUAAAUUAUUAUGACAAACGCAAAUAUAAUAUUACCAUAAUAUAAUACAUAUAAAUAUUAUAAACUAUUUUGAAUAUUAAGCAAAAUUAUUUUUAAUAUUAUUGAUAAUAUUUUUAUAUCAUGUCUAUAUCAGCAUAAGUCCAACGUUAAUUUUUAAAUUAAUAGAUUUAAGUAAUAAUAAAGUCUAUCAAGACAUAAUGGUAAUAGCUUAAUAUUAAAAACAAUUUACAUCAUAUAUAUAUAUAUAUAUAUAUUGUUUUAUUAAUUAUAUUUUAUUUGUAUUUAUGUGUUAUUUUAUUUAUUUUUAUUAACUCAGUAUUGUACUUAAUAUUUAUUAUAAAAACUUUCUCCAUAAUCUAAGGAUAUACUUGUUAAAAAGAAAUUUAUAUGGCUAUUUAUGAAAAUAAAAGAAUAUACGUGAUCAUAUGACCUUUUUCCUUUCAAAUUUAAAGGGAUAAAUUUACACAAGGGAACAUCUAACAUGACCUUGCCCACCGAUCUCGGAUAUUUAAUUGACCAAUAAUACAUUUAUGCAGUUUUGUUGAAGGACACCAUUCCGAGCUCCAUAAAGUUUUUGGAUCUCCAAAAGUUACAGAUGGAUGAAUGGAUGGAUACGUAUAAAGCCACUCACAAUUUUUUAAAACAAAAAUGUAGAGGCAGAGAGAAAAAGAGAGAAGCAGAAAGCCAUCACGAGGAAUUCGGGUAAAUGAUUACAUCAACGGGGCGCUGCCUGAAUCUGUGAGUAGACAGCGAAGCAUAACAGCCUGUUGUUCACGUUAUAAAUGGUUGCAGCCACUUAAUUUUAUAAUUAAUUCGUAUCUUAAAAUAAAAUAAACCAAAAAUUAGUUAGAACCACAAAAGUGGGAAAUCUUAAAGCUGAUGCCCGUGUCAUCACGGAUCAACAUUUUCUACAAGAAGUAAUAAUGUUUAUGAAUGAAUCUUAAAUCAUAUUUUA